UUAAAAUAACCUUCUUCACUCAUCCCUCUGGCUUCUCUCAAAACAACAUACAUACAUGUUUCUUUGAAGAAUAGGGUUUUAUUUGGAGGUUCUUUUUCUUCUAUCGACACCACGUUUCCUCUUUCUUUCAUUCCCCGGCGUUCAACAAUCCUCUGCGUUUCCCUCUUCCUCUGUUAGGCAUUUUAAAUUAGGCUAACAUCUUCAGGCCUCCCUUCAUCACUGUGAUGGAUUCAUCGGGCUAUUGGGUUGUACCUUUAUUCUUUGUAGUUGUAGUAUGACGUCUGGUUCCGAUGUCAGUUUGGUUCACCAUCAUCAUCGAUCAAGAAAACGAGCACAUGUCUUUCUCCUCUGAUUUCUAGGCUGCCACCUAAUAGAAAGCACCCAUCAAAUGAAGAUGAUUGGUCAAACAAUAGAUUUUUAGAGAUUGAAAAUUGAUUUUUGGGGGCAUAAGGAAAGUAAGCUUGAAUCUUAAUCAAAUGAGGAUACUUCCAAGAGGUGUUGUGAUUUUUUUAACAAUUUAUAUGCUGAGCUUUUUGUUUCAAGGCCACUACAAAGAUACGCUUUUAGUUCCAUUGAAUCUCAAAUAAGGGUGUUGGGUGAUUUCUGUCUUCUAUCCACUGAAUUACAAAAGAUAUGAGUCUGUAACUCUGUUUGUUUAUUUCCAGAAAUACCCCUCUGUUCCUAAAAACUUGUGCUUAUCUGCAGGAAAUGAUGGGAUUAACUUACUUCAUGUUGAAUCAAUCAAAAAAGAUGCUGAAUAUUGCACAGAAACACCUUCAGUACUUAUUUAGUAUGCCUGGUAGAUCUUUACAUCAGGGAAGGAAAUGCCUCAUGGUGGAUUGAAAUGUUAAAAUCAAGUGGUCAAUUAAUAUAAAGAGGUGCUGAUGUAUACUUUCGUAUCUCUGAUGAGGAACCUCUUCAUUCAGCUGUGAUUAUUGUUGUUACCUUUUAUUUUAGCCAAACGAAUUAUGUUAAGAAAGUAUGGAUUUCAUCUCAUUCUUUCUGGUGGUGAUCUGUACAAGAAAUGGGAUCAGGUCAUUCUAUGAGUAAUGGUGCAAUAAAUCCAAAGGUUCCAAAAGAAUUUUUUUUAGUCCACAAAGAGAGCAAGAGAAACACACUUGCACCUGAUCAUGAAUCAAAUCCAUGGGCAUUUUAUGUUUGGGCAAUUUUAGUAGGAUCUUAUACAAUUCAACAUAUGCAAAGAGGCAGUAUGUUGUCUCAGUUAAAACAUCCGAAUACAUGUCUUUCAAAAACCAAUGGAAGAGUAUUUCUCCGGAACAGGCUAAAAGGUUUACCAAAAUUAGAGAAAGGGAGGGUUUGAUCGAGAAUGAUGUGGUAAGGACUUGACAGCUCAUUGUUGUUCUAUGAGGGUGAUGGUAAUCCAAAUGUAUGCAUUUUGCAUGAUAUAUUGUUGACUUACUCGUGCUACAACUUUGAUCUUGGUUAUUGCCAGGGCUUGAGUGAUUUCUCUCCACUAUCCUUACUCAUCAUGAAAGAUGAAUCACAAGCUUUCUGCUCAUUUCACAACUACUUCAAACAAAACGACUGCUUCUGUUUCUACUGGAUUCUGAUAUAAUUCAAAAAGGCAAGAAAUGAUGGGAUUAACUUACUUCAUGUUGAUUCAAUCAAAUAAAGAUGUUGAAUAUUGCAUGGAAAACACCUUCAGCAGUUAUUUAGUGGACCCUUUCUUAUUUAGCUUUUCUGUUAAUGUUUAAAGGUACAUUAUUGAAUCUCAGAAAAGGGUAUUGGGUGAUUAUGCCUUCAUGUUAUGAAAUUAUGAACUUGCUUUAUCAAAUUGCCACUGAUUACAACCUGACAAAGCAUGGAAACAAUAUGAAUUGAUGUGCUUUUUUAUCAAAAAAAAUGUUGAAUAUCGCAUGAAAACGCCUUCAGAACUUAUUUGGUACACCUGGAAAUGAUGGGAUUAACAUACUUGAUGUUGUUGAAUCAAUCAAAAAAAGAUGUGCUUUUAUUCAGUGAAUUGGGACAUUAGGGAAGGAAAUGUUAAAAUCAAGUGGUCAAUAUAAAGAGAGGGUGUUUGUGUGUACUUUCUUAUCUCUGAUGAGGACCUCUUCAUUCAGCUGUUGUGCUUGAACAAGCAUCUUAUUGUUGUUACCUUUUGUUUUUUUAGCCAAACGAAUUAUGUUAAGAAAGUAUGGAUUUCAUCUCAUUCUUUCUGGUGGUGAUCUGUACAAGAAACGGAGGGGAUCAGGUGUAAGAAUGCAGUGAAGUCUGAGAGAAACACUGUUUAAUGAUGCAAAGUUAAAGGUCUAUCAUUCCCUUCUCUUUACUUGUAUAGUGGAGGAGUCUGGCUUAUCUGUCAUACAUUUAAGGAGCAUAACUAUACCCUAAUCCCCGAAAAGAUUCUCUGAAAAUAUGCUCCUAUUAUGGAUAAAGAAUAAAUGGUCAAGCUUUUUGGAUUAUGAAGGCUUAGUCAUGGAUCCAGAUGCUUUAAAACAGAGAAUAUUCUAUAGGGGCAAAAAAAGGUUUAUGCAUUCUUACACAGAGGCAGUAUGUUGUCUCAGCUAAAACAUUAGAAUACAUGACUAUCAAAAACCAAUUGCAGGGUAUAAAAAGGUUUACAGAAAUUAGAGAAAGGAAGGGUUUGAUUGAGAAAGAUGUGGUAUGAAAAUAACCAUACAUUUCAAAUGUGGUUUUUUUUAUUUAAGUAUUUUAUUUUUGUUUUUAAGGUAAUGAUAUAUUGUUGACUUACUCAUUCUACAACUUUGAUCUUGGUUAUUGCCAGGUGUUUUAUUGGAAUGAUUAGGUCCAAAUUUCAACCGUGAUCAAAAAGCCAUGCACUCUCAACUAUUUCUUUGCGCUAUCAAAUGUCCUCCCUCUAUCUCAAUAUAUAACAAGGGUAUUUUGGUCUUUUAAUAAAGAGGGAGGAAUGAAUCAAAACUGGCAUUCCUUCCGCCUGCCCCUAUAAAUAAAUGGUUCAAGUCCAUCAAUAUAUGAAAUACCAAGGAAUUUGACAAAGUUGCAUUCCGUCCGAAUUUUCAACCAAAGGCACCAUUCAAUGGAAUCUCGAAUUCCAAUCCCACCGGUAUCCACAAUUCCAGUUCCUAGCUGUGAUUAUCAAACAUGGAAUUUCAAGAAAUCCAACAGAAGUGUAUUCCAUCCAAACUGUCAACCAAACACGUCAAGAAAUGGAAUCUCGAAUUCCAACUCUGCCGGAAUCCGCGAUUCCGUUUCUUAGCAUGUCUAUUAUUGUUUUGAUAGGGCAGCUGGUGGAACUAUUCAACAGCCCAUUACACAACUACUUCAGACAAAACAACUGCUUUCUGUUUCUGUUGGAUUCUGAUCCAACUCAAAAGGCAAGUAAAUUUACUCCUCUACCCUUGCUAAUUAAAAAGUAUCACAUGGUUUCAGGGUAUUUGAAUACGAUAAAACAUUAAGGUUAUGGGAGGUGUUACGGACAAGGUUUGCCACAUGAAUAAGGAAAGUCAAAGAUGGAAUUCUAAUGUUUGUCCAACAGUGACAAGGAAAAUGAAUCGCUUUGGAAAGAAUAUGAGAUUUUUCAUAGUCAAGGAAAUGUGUUUGAAGCUAGAUGAGGAUGUGAAAAUUACAUGGUGGACUUAGAUGCUACGGCCUGAUCAUCAUACUUCCACUUGCUCUUUUGUUACCAUUUAGGAUGCCUUUUUUGUGAAUUGUUUAGGCAUUUUAGUACAAAUGGAUGGGUGUUCUGUAGAGACCUUGCAGCGGUUGGGAAUCUGUUGUCACAAGCGGGAUUUAACCGUCCAAUUCCGGUAAAAUAUGAAGGUUUAAGCUGUUAGGAUUUAAUUAAAAGAAGCAUAAACAAAUAAUCAAAAACCGGUUAAUGUAUAAAUUGUGGUUGUGGGAA